UACGUAGGGUGCAAGCGUUGUCCGGAAUUAUUGGGCGUAAAGAGCUCGUAGGCGGUUUGUCGCGUCGAAUGUGAAAACCCGGGGCUCAACCCCGGGCCUGCAUUCGAUACGGGCAGACUAGAGUUCGGUAGGGGAGUCUGGAAUUCCUGGUGUAGCGGUGAAAUGCGCAGAUAUCGGGAAGGAACACCAGUGGCGAAGGCGACUACCUGGCCUGUUCUUGACGCUGAGGCGCGAAAGCUAGGGGAGCAAACGGGG
rnacentral:rRNA from 1 species